GUUGACUACUCCCACCUAAGCUCUGCUUAGGAAGGAGCCUGAAAGGGUUCCGAUCCGGGAGCGGGAGACUAGCCUUGGCGAUGUCCCCUCGGGAGUGGGGGCAGAUGAGCUACGUUCGGGGCUGAGUGUUCGAAAAGCACUUGUGGAUGCCUCCCAAGUCCGCAACUCUGCAAGGCAGGUGGACGAAACACGCCGUUAUCCCGAUGGUGUGCAACAUCACCUGUUCGAGCCCACCCCAACAUUGGCGAUGGGAACUUACUCCUCUGGUGUGCGGGAGG
rnacentral:sRNA from 2 species